NNNNNNNNNNNNNNNNNNNNNNNNNNNNNNNNNNNNNNNNNNNNNNNNNNNNNNNNNNNNNNNNCCCUUCUCUGUUCGGGGAUCCCGUCCUGGGAGCCCCCCAGCCCCCAGCCCCUCAGUCCCUCAUUCGCUCACUCAACAGCUAUUGAACACGACGUCCAGUGCGUCAGGGGAUUGAAUGUGGGACAAGACAAGGCCCUGACUGCCCUUCUCUCCUGAGGUUGACCGGGAGUGACAAUGAACUAGUAAAUCCAUAAAUACAAUAAUUACAGAUUGCUAUCAGGACCCCAAAGAUGCAUCUUCAAGUCACAUUUCCAGUACGCCCCCACAUCCACGAUCCUGCCCCACCCUCGGGCCCCCUGAAGCAUGGAAACACCUGCAGCCAGCCCCCAGGGACAGGAUGAAAUUGCUGACUUCCAGACUGCACGCUGGGCUCCUUCUGAAUCAGAAGCCCUGGGGAUCUUCCGGGAAGCUGCAUACUCAACAUCACUCCAGCACGGCCUUAAGCAACAGCAGUGGUCUGGAAGGCUGCACUGCAGAGAACCAGAGGCCCCAGGCUCUCUUCUGAAAAGAAACUAGGGCUCUGAAUGCUAAAACUUCCACGCACUCCUCCUUACCCGUCGCUGCUGCCACUCGCAGUGAAGACCGGGCCCAGCCUUAGAGAAAGGCGAACUCAAGGCUAGACUUACAAAAAGAAGAAGAAGGGGAAGAAGAUAACCAGAAUGCUAGUUUGUUAUGUACAUUAUACAAGAAAAUGUAUUUCCUUUUUUUUUUAAAUGAUUUUAUUUAUUCAUUUGAGACAGCGGGAGCACGAGCUAGUGCAGGGGAGCAGAGGGAGAGGGAGAAGGGGAGCCCAACACAGGGCUCGAUCCCAGGACCCCAUGAUCAGGACCAGUGCUUAACCCACUGAGCCACCCAGGUGCCCAAGAAAAUGUUUUUCCUUUCACUCCCUGCUCCCCAAAUCUCCACUCUUCCUUUGGAACAGAAAACCUUACGUAGUACCUAUAUCAUACAGCAUGUUAAAGACACGAAAUACAAAACCUGGUGAUUCAGGAGGCCGCCGUACUGCCCAACCGCGGGGAUGCUGUUCACAAUACACUCUUUGUGGUUGGGGUCCCAGAAAGUCAUGUGGUGGGGGGCUGCUGGGUUUGGGAAUUUUAGGGUACAUUAGCAGCGCCAGACCCUUGCCUUAACGACACUCCAGGGCAAACCCAAGGCUGGUAGGAACUGUGUUCUGGGUGCUGUGGCCAGGGCUGGAGAUCCAUGCCAACCAAGAAGCAUUUAGCCUUCGGGAUGCUUACAGUCUGAAAGGGGAACCAGACGUGAAAAGCAAGAAGUAUCCUAAAAAGGAGUGGGUGUAAAAAUAAAAUGUUAUACAGCCUACAGCGGGGGGGCCCCCAGGAGGAAAUGACCAACAUUGGUUUCCCAGAAGAGGGGCCACUGGUGAGACAAGGCAAAAACAGCAGUUGUCCCCUCCCGCAGGCAGGCGGUGUGGGACACAGGGC
rnacentral:lncRNA from 1 species